rnacentral:rRNA from 1 species
UACGGAGGGUGCAAGCGUUAAUCGGAAUUACUGGGCGUAAAGCGCGCGUAGGCGGCUGGGUAAGUCGAUUGUGAAAGCCCCGGGCUCAACCUGGGAAUUGCAGUCGAGACUGCUCGGCUAGAGUGUGGGAGAGGGUGGUGGAAUUCCCGGUGUAGCGGUGAAAUGCGUAGAUAUCGGGAGGAUUAUUUAAUGAGACGGCGACCACCGAGAUCUACACUGACGCUGAGGUGCGAAAGCGUGGGUAGCAAACAGG